rnacentral:rRNA from 1 species
CGUACACUCCUGCGGGAGGCAGCAGUGGGGAAUAUCGCACAAUGGGCGCAAGCCUGAUGCAGCCAUGCCGCGUGUAUGAAGAAGGCCUUCGGGUUGUAAAGUACUUUCAGCGGGGAGGAAGGCGAUAAGGUUAAUAACCUUGUCGAUUGACGUUACCCGCAGAAGAAGCACCGGCUAACUCCGUGCCAGCAGCCGCGGUAAUACGGAGGGUGCAAGCGUUAAUCGGAAUUACUGGGCGUAAAGCGCACGCAGGCGGUCUGUCAAGUCGGAUGUGAAAUCCCCGGGCUCAACCUGGGAACUGCAUUCGAAACUGGCAGGCUAGAGUCUUGUAGAGGGGGGUAGAAUUCCAGGUGUAGCGGUGAAAUGCGUAGAGAUCUGGAGGAAUACCGGUGGCGAAGGCGGCCCCCUGGACAAAGACUGACGCUCAGGUGCGAAAGCGUGGGGAGCAAACAGGAUUAGAAACCCCAGUAGUCCCA